rnacentral:rRNA from 1 species
GGUAUAAAGAAGUAAAUAAAAAUAAUAGUAAUUGUUACAAAGAAAAUAAUAGAUUGUGUUAAGGAAAAUAAAUUAAAUUAUUUGAUGUGAUGUAUAAAUGGCUUAGAUUUAUUGUUUAAUUAAGUACUGUAAAGGAAUAUGAAAAAGAUAAGUUAUAGUAGAAGUUUGAUUUCGUACCUUUAGCAUAAUGAAUUGAUGAUAUAAAUUUAAUUAAUAAUAAAAUCUCGAAAUAAAAGGAUUUAUUUAAUAAAUAUAUGUUAACGUUGUAAAGUUAUAUAAUUAGUAUUAAAUGGUAAUGAAAUGUUAAACGAUUUUUAUGAUGGCUAGUUUAUACUUAAAAACAUUUAAGUGUUGAAAUAUUAAUAUAAUAGUAGUUGUUUAUUUAAUAUUAUUUAGUGUGUAGGGGUAAGCUUUACGUAGAUUAUAGAAUAUUUAAAGUAUGAAAAUUUAAGUAGGGUUAAUAGUGCUUUUCUUUAAAAAUAUAUUAAUAGUGUAUAAGUAGUAUAAUUAAUUUCAAGUUGAAAAUAAAUUGUUAUAAAUAUUUAUAAAUAUUAUUAAAUAGUUAUAAUGUUAAUAUGAGUAUUUGAGUGUAAUAAGGUUUUAUAAAUAUUUAUUUGUAAAUAUUUAAUAUUACAAUUUAAUUAAGUAAUAUAAAGGAAUUCGGCAAGUAUUAAUCUCGCCUGUUUAUCAAAAACAUGUCUCUUUGUAGAUUAUAAAUAGAGAGUUAGACCUGCUCGGUGAUGUAUUUAACAGCUGCGGUAUUUUAACUGUACUAAGGUAGCAUAAUAGUUUGCCUUAUAAAUUGAGGCUAGAAUGAAUGGUUUGACGAAGGUUAACCUGUCUCUAUAUUAUUUUUUAGAAAUUAAUUUUUAUAGUGAAAAAGCUUGGAUUUUUUAAAGGGACGAGAAGACCCUAAUGAGCUUUAAUUUUAAGUAUUAGGUAAGGUAAUACAUGAAUUUUAAUUGGGGUGAUUAAGGAAUAAUAUUUAAAAAGUAACUUCCUUAGCUUAAAUGUGUUUUUAUGAAGUAACCAAUGUAUAUUGCUUAUAAAAAAGUUACCAUAGGGAUAACAGCGUAAUUUGUUUAGAGAGUUCUUAUUAAAAAAUGAGAUUGCGACCUCGAUGUUGGAUUAAAAUAACCUUAAGGUGUAGAAGCUUUAUACGGUAAAUCUGUUCGAUUUUUAAUAUUUUACAUGAUCUGAGUUCAGACCGGCGCGAGCCAGGUUGGUUUCUAUCUUUUAAAUUGUUAAUUUGUUUUAUCUAGUACGAAAGGAUUGAUAAAGACUAAAAAUUUUAUUAUAUUAAAUAGGUAUAACGUGGGUUAAGUAUAAUAUUGAUUAUUUAAUUAAAUUUUUAUGGUGUAAGUAGCACAU